rnacentral:lncRNA from 1 species
AAAAUUGAGUUAGACAAGUUAAGUAACUGCUCAGAGCUUUAUAUACACUAAAUAUCAGAAUUAGGCUUUAUCUCAGAACUCUUUGACUCCAAGAUACAGGAAAUUAAGAACUAUUAUACUUUCUCUAUUUCUAAAUGUAAUACAAUUCACACAUUUUAAAUAUCUUAAGUGUCAAUAUCUGCCGUACAUUAAAACAAGCUACAUCAGAGAAAGUUUAUUGUCUUUUUAAGUAUUAUUUGGAAAAAAAUCUUAACUAUGUACAUAUAUAUUUAAAACUACCUAGAAUAUAUUUUCAACAAUAGAAAAUCAAAUGAAGUAAUAAAUGCUGUGGUCCGAAUAUCUGUGUCCUCUUCAGAUUUUUAUGUUGCAAUCUUAACCUUAAGUUAAUGGCAUUAAGAGGUAAGUCCUGUGGGAGGUGAUACACUGAUGGGGACAUCCCAUUAAGUAACCAGUGGGCUAAGGCAGCUCAUUUGCCAUUUCUACAGUGUGAGAAUGCAGCAACAAGGUGCCAGCUAUGAAGCAAAGAGCCCUUACCAGACAAUGAAUCUACUGACAACUUGAUCUUGGACUCUUCAGCUUCCCAAACUGGUUACCAACUAUAUCACAUAAUGGUCCUAAGGAUUAAAUGAAAAAAAAUGCAGUAAGAUAAAGCUGAUUUAUCAAGGUUGGGGAAAUGCAAUAAAGAAAGAGGUUAAUAAUUCACAGAGCCAGCUGAAUAGAAUACCAGAGUUUUAUUUCUACACAAAUCAGUCUCCCAGCCAUGGUCCAGGCUUGAGGGUGGAGCCCUCACGAGAGACCUCACCAUUUUCUACCUAGUAUUUCCCUGUCUCCUGUCUAUAUCGCAGAGCAUUAAAUUGAAGCCAAGGGACUGAAAUAAGAAACUCCAGAGAACAACAAGAGGAACUGAAAUUGCAUGGUCAUUAGAAGGCAUCUUAAGAAUAACUGUGUAGCAGAGAAUGAGGACUCAUAUCAAAGUUUGAUUCUUUUAGUAUUGGAUUUUAUGUAAGUAAAAUUUUUAGUAUAGUCAAACAAAUAUUAUCGUCAAUAUAUUAAUGUUCAUAUUUACAUUUUCAUCAUGAUGCAGAAGAUGAAAACACUAAACAGACUAUUUGCUAAUGCUGAAAAUCUUUAGUAUUUAGGUAAGAGUUAUAUUAUACAUAAAAUAAAAAUAAUAUAAACUAAGCAUAACUGAAACGUGCUUUUUAAGACCUUGGUUUUGUUUAAAUCUAAAAAUCAAAUACAAAUGUAAUAUAAAGUUCAGUGUGUAACUAUGACAAAAAAUAUUUUGAGUUUAGGAAAUAAGCUGUAGUAUCUGGAAUUUCAAGAGGUAUAUAUAAUACAUUAUGAGAAGGAGUACUUUAAAGGUCAAAAGAAGGGAAAAUAAUAAUUUAAAGCUCAAUAAAUGAAUUCAAAUCCA